GCUUACGUGGUGGCAAUACGGUAAGUCGCUACGUUGCUUGAAUGCUACUCUAGUUAACGUUGACCAUCACCAUGAGGUGGGUUCCGCCGGAAUUUUUAAUCUCAAGGAAGGCUCUUCGCUGCCUUGAACGUCCCUCAAGGAAGCGACAUUUGUCAAGCCGCUGCCAUUACUGUUUUGCCGUCAACGUCGUUCUCGUCAAGUUGUAUCAUUGCGUACAGAUGGAUGAUCGUGCACAGGACUGCAUUACUUCUGCAAAAUAUUUAAAGGCUCUGGGAUCUCGUGAGUCCGAAAGUAUCAUCUGCGCUACAAUGAAAAAUCCUCUUGGUAGCAUGCCAUGUAUUCAACGGGACAGUAACAACAAAUUCAGUCUGCAUCAUUCACGCCAGUUUGACCGCAGGCGAGCCCCAGCAAAGGAGGACCCUCAAGUGGCAUAUUUCUUCUGAUUUCAGUGCGUUGCGGCACCAUCACGUGGAGGCUCGUGUGAACAUGUGCUACCAAGAAACACGUAGAGUAAUAUUUAUUUAUUACCGAACUUGUUGUGUAGCUUCCACAGCA